rnacentral:rRNA from 1 species
GACGAACGCUGGCGGCGUGCUUAACACAUGCAAGUCGAACGGAAAGGCCCUGCUUUUGUGGGGUGCUCGAGUGGCGAACGGGUGAGUAACACGUGAGUAACCUGCCCUUGACAUUGGGAUAACUUCAGGAAACUGGGGCUAAUACCGGAUAGGAGCUCCUGCUGCAUGGUGGGGGUUGGAAAGUUUCGGCGGUUGGGGAUGGACUCGCGGCUUAUCAGCUUGUUGGUGGGGUAGUGGCUUACCAAGGCUUUGACGGGUAGCCGGCCUGAGAGGGUGACCGGGCAAAUUGGGGCGGGGGAACGGGCCCGAACCCCCAGGGGGGGAGGAGGGGGGGAAAUUGGACAAUGGGGGGAAGGCCGGAUGCAGAACCCCGGGGGGGGGAAGGCGGGCUUUGGGUUGUAAAACCGUUUUCCCUGGGACCGAGGGGGGGGGGGCGGAAAGGGUAAAAAAAGCACGGCUAAACUAGGU